rnacentral:rRNA from 1 species
GCGGUAAGGCCCUUCGGGGUACACGAGCGGCGAACGGGUGAGUAACACGUGGGUGAUCUGCCCUGCACUUCGGGAUAAGCCUGGGAAACUGGGUCUAAUACCGGAUAUGACCACUGGGUGCAUGCCUGGUGGUGGAAAGGUUUACUGGUGCAGGAUGGGCCCGCGGCCUAUCAGCUUGUUGGUGGGGUAAUGGCCUACCAAGGCGACGACGGGUAGCCGGCCUGAGAGGGCGACCGGCCACACUGGGACUGAGACACGGCCCAGACUCCUACGGGAGGCAGCAGUGGGGAAUAUUGCACAAUGGGCGAAAGCCUGAUGCAGCGACGCCGCGUGAGGGAUGACGGCCUUCGGGUUGUAAACCUCUUUCAGCAGGGACGAAGCGAAAGUGACGGUACCUGCAGAAGAAGCACCGGCCAACUACGUGCCAGCAGCCGCGGUAAUACGUAGGGUGCGAGCGUUGUCCGGAAUUACUGGGCGUAAAGAGCUCGUAGGCGGUUUGUCGCGUCGUCUGUGAAAACCAGCAGCUCAACUGCUGGCUUGCAGGCGAUACGGGCAGACUUGAGUACUGCAGGGGAGACUGGAAUUCCUGGUGUAGCGGUGAAAUGCGCAGAUAUCAGGAGGAACACCGGUGGCGAAGGCGGGUCUCUGGGCAGUAACUGACGCUGAGGAGCGAAAGCGUGGGUAGCGAACAGGAUUAGAUAC